rnacentral:lncRNA from 10 species
GACUCCAUCUCAAAAAAACAAACAAACAAUAACAAAAUAAAUAAAUAAAAGACUUGAACUCAGACCAGACGUGAUGACCAGCUGAAUUUAAGCAUAUUAGUCAGCAGAGGAAAAGAAACUAACCAGGAUUCCCUCAGUAAUGGCAAGUGAACAGGUAAGAGCCCAGCACCAAAUGCCUGCCUUGCAGAGUUUUUACAUAUAUAUGUGUGUGUGUGUGUGUGCAUUAUAUAUAUACGUAUUCUUUUUAAGUUGAGAAAACAAUAAUUCAGUAUAACCCAAAGUGGAAUCUGCUAAAAUGGGUAACAAGUGAUGGUGGUAAUCAUGUAUGAAGCAGAAAAAGGCUUAGUUGAGCAAAUUUAUAAAGCCCUGGAAAAUAUAAGGUGUUUAGAGCCUAUGGUUAUUUAUGACAUUAUUCAUCUGAAACUAAUCCAUGAUAAAAAUAUAUAUAUAUUUUUGAGAUUAUGUGCUAGGUACUGGGAAUAGAAAAAAUAAUAUAUAGCAGGCUGCCCUCAAGAUGCUCAGAUUGGGAUGAGAAAAAUAUUUAUGAACAAUUACAAUAGAAUGUGAUAAAAAUUAAUUUAGGCUGUGCCCACAGUGUAUACAUAGUAAUCAGAGAGUAUGGUCAGUUUUGGUUCUGCUUUUAGAAUAUGUGUUUGGAGUCACCAGAGAUGUGACCCCUAAAUGCUUCAUGCUGAUUAUUAGCCUACUAAAGGAAAAACUAUGGAGAGGUGAAGGACGCUCUGCAUUUAGAGGGCAGAGAGCGGGUUGCUGUGGCUCACAUCUGUAAUCCUAGCUACUUUGGAGGCUGAGGCAGGAGGACUACUUGAGCCUAGGAAUUUGAGACGAGAGUCAGCAACAGAGAGACAUGUCUUUAAAAACAAAACAAAACCCAAAAAGCCUAAUUCAGUCAAAGCAUGGGUAGAAGCCAGAUUAAGAAGGUUGAGCAGCUGGGUGGGUGGCUCACGUCUGUAAUCCCAACACUUUGGGAGGCCAAGCUGGGAGGAUUACCUGAGCCCAGCAGUUCCAGAUCAGCUUGGGCAAUACAGUGAGACCUCAUCUCUACAAAAAAUUUAAAAAUUAAAAAAUCACCACUAGGAUUACAGGCGGUGGCUCAGUGCAUGCCUGUAAUCAAUCCCACCUACUUGGCAGGCUGAGGCAGGAGAAUUGCUUGAACCUGGACCUGGGAGGCAGAGGUUGCAGUGAGCUGAGAUCACGCCACUGCACUCCUCCAGCCUGGGCUACAGAGCUAGAGUCCGUAUCAGAAUAAAAAAAAAAAAAAAGGGCUGGGCAAGGAGCAGGUGAUUAUGAAGUGGUAAAUCUGACAGUGAAAAGUAGUUAGAAAACAAAGUGGAGAUUUUUCUCUCCACCCUCACCCACCCACUGAGGGUGUAUGCUCAGGGUUUUAGGGUAUAGAGGUAGAGGCCCAGGGAAUGACUGAAUAAUAAUAAUGGAAGACUCAUAUGAUGCUUACUAUGUGCCAGGUACUAUUCUAAGCACUUUGCAUAUAUUAACUUGUUUCAUACAUAGCUGGGCGGGGUGGCUCACAUCUUGGCUGAGGGGGAGGAUUGUUUGAGCUCAAAAGUCUGAGACGAGCCUGGGCAACAUGGUGAGAUUUCGUCUCUAUUAAAAAUCAAAGGCCGGGCGCGGUGGCUCACGCCUGUAAUCC